AUUGAACGCUGGCGGCAUGCUCUACACAUGCAAGUCGAACGGUAACAGGCCGCAAGGUGCUGACGAGUGGCGCACGGGUGAGUAAUGCAUCGGAACGUGCCCAGUCGUGGGGGAUAACUACUCGAAAGAGUAGCUAAUACCGCAUACGAUCUAUGGAUGAAAGCGGGGGACCGUAAGGCCUCGCGCGAUUGGAGCGGCCGAUGUCAGAUUAGGUAGUUGGUGGGGUAAAGGCUCACCAAGCCAACGAUCUGUAGCUGGUCUGAGAGGACGACCAGCCACACUGGGACUGAGACACGGCCCAGACUCCUACGGGAGGCAGCAGUGGGGAAUUUUGGACAAUGGGUGCAAGCCUGAUCCAGCAAUGCCGCGUGCAGGAAGAAGGCCUUCGGGUUGUAAACUGCUUUUGUACGGAACGAAACGGCUCUGGUUAAUACCCGGGGCUAAUGACGGUACCGUAAGAAUAAGCACCGGCUAACUACGUG
rnacentral:rRNA from 1 species